UGUUAAUCAGGCAUGGGCCAUUUGAAUGAUUUAUUAUUUAUAAAUUAUUGUCAUUGCAAUAAUGGUUUUUUUCCCUCUGGAAUUUUGCCGUACGAUUUUACGGCUUAUCGUAAUAUCAUUUGACAAUAAGUACCGACCUGCUCACUGUUCAUGGUUGUGUAAAAAUGAGUUCCAAUGAACAAAAGGAAUCGAAAAUCACCCUUAAGACAACAAAUUUUUUUUGCACCACACCGAAGAAAGCAAAGAUAAAUGAUGAAGCGAAUACAUCAAAAAAUACAAAUUAUAGCCGUAUCCGUAUGCCCGUAUACUGUACCUAAAGGCAAUAUAAUUAUGGCUGCAUACGAAUGGCGUCCCAGAAUACGAAAAUAUAAAUCGCGAUAUCCGAGUUGCGUCCGUUGUUUUUGCACAACACAUCCGAAUUGCGUCCGCGUUUUUCUCGCGACAUUUAUCGGAGUUGCAUCCCGAUUAAUAAUUGAUUAGUUGGUGAAUAUUAUACAUAUUUUCCCUUCCCACUUUGACAGACUGAGGAC